rnacentral:rRNA from 1 species
UCUUCGGAACAGUGGCAAACGGGCGAGUAACACGUACCUAACCUGCCCUCGAGCGAGGCAUAACUGUGGAGACGCAGCUAAUUCCUCAUACGAUCCAUAAAAUGAGAAUAUAUGGAUGAAAGGUUUACCACUCGAGGAGGGGGGUGCGGUCUAUCAGAUAGUUGGUGAGGUAACGGCUCACCAAGUCUAUGACGGAUAGCCGGUCUGAGAUGAUGUCCGGCCGCAAUGGGACUGAGACACGGCCCAUACUCCUACGGGAGGCAGCAGUGGGGAAUCUUGCGCAAUGGGCGAAAGCCUGACGCAGCGAUCCCGCGUGGAGGAUGACACCUUACGGGGCGUAAACUCCUUUUUUGGUGGAAGACGAAAGACGGUACACCAAGAAUAAAGGACGGCUAACUACGUGCCAGCAGCCGCGGUAAUACGUAGGUCCUAAGCGUUAUCCGGAUUUACUGGGCGUAAAGCGUCUGUAGCUGGAAAAAUAAGUCUGUUUUCAAAUACUGUGGCUCAACCAUAGAAAGGGAAUGGAUACUGUCUUUCUAGAGGUUAUUAGAGGUUAGUGGAAUUUCCGGUGGAGCGGUGAAAUGUGUUGAUAUCGGAAGGAACGCCAAAAGCGAAAGCAGCUAACUAUAAUAAACCUGACGGUCAGAGACGAAAGCUUGGGUAGCAAACGGGAUUAGAUACCCCGGUAGUCCAAGCCGUAAAUUAUGCUUGCUAGAUGUUUUCUCCAUUUUGGAGGGAGUGUCGUAAUCUAACGAGUUAAGCAAGCCGCCUGGGUAGUAUAUACGCAAGUAUGAAACUCANAGGGAUAGGCGGGGGAACACACAAGC